CAGGUAGAUUUUGAAUGAAAAUCUUAAUCAAAUUGUUAUCAGAACAUGGCGGAGCCAAAAGAGGAGGAAUUGCGCAACGUGGCAUUAAAUUUGGUUGCCAUGUUGAGAACUUCGCUGAGCAAUCCAGCAGCAAACAGUGUUUCCCUGGACUAUUUAGACAAAAUUCUAGAUCUCUCUCCAAAAAAAGGACAGGCACCAAACUGACCCCAGGCCAGUUCUUCCUACUGCAUAGCUCCACAGAAAAGACGCCAAAACCCUCUGAGGAGCUGAAGCUUCUAUAGGCUGGGUUGGGAAAAAGGACUGUAAAUGUUCCAGAGGAUGCUGGCCAUAAGGAGAUCACAGACAUUCUUUGUGAGACAUAUCCGAAAAUGUCUGAUCUGGAGGGGGCCUGGAUGCUUCACAAAGCCAUGGGAGGAUCAGGUCAACGGAAACUGAACCUUUUGUCACCAGAAGAGGAAGGAUACACGGGGGCUAGUCUUGUGAAGACCUGGGGAGGCAAGGGCUGUCUUUAUAUUAUGCCUAUCCAGCACACUCUGGACAUUUCUCCCCUGCCCUUCACAGCUCCGGAGUUCAGGGCCAUGCCGAAAGCUCGGUGUGUGUCAUGCCAGGAGUCUGUGCCGCUGCAGCUCCUCAGUCUCCAUGUCAAGACAUGUACCGAGUCUAACGGCACUGAUGAGGUAUGGCUUGCUCUCAAUAAACUAUAACAUUGAUUUUCUUUCUCUCUGUCCGAUGUACAGGUUGGUUUACAGAGAAACUAUUUGAAGGUGGGACCAUGUUUGCAGUGUCCCCAUUAGCUUACCAAAAAAGUUAAUAAGUGUUACGACCCCUCCCUCUCUGUCUGUAGUUUUGUCACAGGCCUCUACCUGCAGGCAGUCAUGGAGGGUUGUUACGAUAAUGUGGUGGCACCUGUGUAGGCCUCCUUCAAGGCUAUGUUUCCACAUAGCCGGCUAUUUUCAUAUACGGAGACAUUUCCCUUCGUUUGUGCCGAAUUCUCCUCUGAAAACUAUUCUUUCUAAAAACUCUGGCCAGGGUGGAGAUUUUGGAAAACUCCGUUUUGCCCAUUUGCAUGUCAACUGGGGAAGACGGACUUCAGAGGAAGUGAUGCAUUGUUGUUGUUGCUAUUUUGUGGAUUCUGAUUGGCUAACGUGGGCUUGAGCUUCACAUUACGCUGCCACCUACCGGUUUGGCAUGCUCUUGACGGCAUAUAUA